AUGGAUGCAGUGCAGGCUUGCUACCGAGGUUUGGUCCUGCUGGCCACUGCGGUUGGUGAUGGCGAGGAGGCUGUGACGCCGGCUGCGCAGCUGGCCGCCAUCGAGGAGCGAUGCGGCAUGCUGCUGGCGGAGGUGAGCAUCGAGGUUGCGUGCCCCUCACAUGACUUGUGGUUGCUUUUCUCAACGGAGGAGAAGUGCACGGUGGUGCUCCAAUCAUUGAUGAAGCUCAAGUGCUGCCGCCGGUGGAUUAAGUUUGAGCGGUGGGUGAGAGAGAUCCGGGGCAGUCCGGGUGCCCUGGAGUACAAGUCGAAGUUAAGUUUCGAAGGCCUUCCCGACCAAGCAUGGUCGAGGCGUUCAGUCAAAGGUCUACUGAAGGACUUGGGCGGCGAGCUGAUUGUGAUUAUACCGCCGAAGAACCGGCGUGAGCUUGAGGUAAUGGCGUGGCUCCGUGACCCAUCGAAAGUUGGCCAUGUGGUUGACAUGGAGAUACCCGAGCCAAAGCUUGCGCUGUGCAUGGAUCUGCCUCCACAGUCUCUAGAAGAGCUUGUUGCGUGUGAAAGCACGUGUGAGUACGGACCAUCGUCGCUGAGGAAGAAGAAGACAAUUGUCUAUCCAGUGAUCUGUCACAUGAAGGAGGUUACUGAUCGUGGUCCUCUGCUCGCUGAAGACCUGCCAGAUGAAUGGCUGCCUAACGAAGGGGAGGAUCUGACCCGCAAGCACGAAUUCACCACAGUGCUUGGCAAAGUGGACGGCAUUAUCUAUGAUUAUUGA
rnacentral:rRNA from 1 species